AGUGAACGCUGGCGGUAGGCCUAACACAUGCAAGUCGAACGGCAGCACAGUAAGAGCUUGCUCUUACGGGUGGCGAGUGGCGGACGGGUGAGGAAUACAUCGGAAUCUACUUUUUCGUGGGGGAUAACGUAGGGAAACUUACGCUAAUACUGCAUACGACCUACGGGUGAAAGCAUGGGAUCUUCGGACCUUGCGCGAUUGAAUGAGCCGAUGUCGGAUUAGCUAGUUGGCGGGGUAAAGGCCCACCAAGGCGACGAUCCGUAGCUGGUCUGAGAGGAUGAUCAGCCACACUGGAACUGAGACACGGUCCAGACUCCUACGGGAGGCAGCAGUGGGGAAUAUUGGACAAUGGGCGCAAGCCUGAUCCAGCCAUACCGCGUGGGUGAAGAAGGCCUUCGGGUUGUAAAGCCCUUUUGUUGGGAAAGAAAAGCAGCAGGUUAAUACCCCGCUGUUCUGACGGUACCCAAAGAAUAAGCACCGGCUAACUUCGUG
rnacentral:rRNA from 1 species